UGGGGAAUAUUGGACAAUGGGGGCAACCCUGAUCCAGCCAUGCCGCGUGAGUGAUGAAGGCCUUCGGGUUGUAAAGCUCUUUUGGCGGGGACGAUGAUGACGGUACCCGCAGAAUAAGCCCCGGCUAACUUCGUGCCAGCAGCCGCGGUAAGACGAAGGGGGCAAGCGUUGUUCGGAAUUACUGGUCGUAAAGGGCGCGUAGGCGGUUUGCUUAGUCAGGCGUGAAAGCCCUGGGCUUAACCUGGGAUGUGCGCUUGAUACUGGCAGCCUUGAAUGUGGGAGAGGUUGGUGGAAUUCCCAGUGUAGAGGUGAAAUUCGUAGAUAUUGGGAAGAACACCGGUGGCGAAGGCGGCCAACUGGACCACAACUGACGCUGAGGCGCGAAAGCGUGGGGAGCAAACA
rnacentral:rRNA from 1 species